CCCAUCUCAGGGUCACACCUGGAGGGUUUCCAGUACUUUCCCAGUCUUAGCUACAGGAGGGAGAGUCAAGCAGAGGCUUAGCCUUUCCAUUCCUAGCUUGGGCAGUGGCUAGCGAAUGGAAGGCAAUCUGCUACAAGC